GUUACCAUCUUAAUUUGGUUAAUCUAAGUCAUUUUUUAGGUUAUAUUUAGUAGUAUAUAUUGCAAUUGUGCGCUCAUUUGGAUAUACCAAGGGGUAAAGUGCAUUUUUGUAAGUUUAGGUUCAAAUAAAGAGGACAAAUCUGUAUAUUUAAGAGUUUGGGUUCAAAUUAAAAACAAAUCUAAAUAUGAAGGGUUAAGUGAAAAUAAAAGAAGUUGUUGUGGUAACGAUAGAUCUCAGGCUCGAGUUUCAUGGGAGGAGCUUUAUCAAAGCAGAGGAUUGUGGCGAGAGAAGGUUCCGGUAGUAUGAUAAGGUCCUGGCGAGGAUCUGAAAUCAUUGAGAAGAUCUAAAAUUGUUGAUAACAAAGUGGUAUACGGCAGAUUGGAGCUUUUCGUGGCCGUGUAUAAAGUCAGAGAGAUGAAAAACCGCCGCGUGGAUAACGACAGAUUGAACCAAGAAUCUCUGUCUAUGCCGCCUCCGUCACAGUCGUCUCCGUCGCAACCGUCUACCUCUCUGUCGUCUUCUUCUGGGUCUCUGUCGUCUUCUUCUUUGUGUCUGUGUCGUAAAUUUUUUUUUUGUCACCGCGUCGUUAAUGAUUAUAGACAAUGAAACAAACACUUAGGCCAUGUUUAUCCCCUUUUUUUUUCUAAAAAGAAAAAAAAAUUAAAAAGCAAACUAAUCGCGGAUUGUCACGAGUCAGUGGGAUCCGUAAACAAGAUAAGAAAUUCACUAAAAUCGACUCUUAAUUAGUAGUUUUUAUAACCGAUCUUUAAGGGUUUUGUGGGAAUUCACGCACUAAGAACCUCGCUAAAGACUCCGGAUAAUC
rnacentral:lncRNA from 1 species